rnacentral:lncRNA from 1 species
AUGCCUGAGAAGGUCAAGCAGACAGAAACUAAAACAACAGAAGUUGGGUUAAUAAAGGCCAAACCGAAAGUUAAGGAGGAGAAAGCACUUCAGACUGUAACUAAAUCGGAAAAGAAAGAUCAAUAUGCAUUCUGUCGCUAUGUGAUUGACAUGUUUGCGCAAGGGGAUUUUUAUCCAGGACAUAAGGGAAUGGUAUCACCUCGUCUUCUUCUAGAACAUAGUCCAAGAAAGAAAACAGCAGCUAUUGAAGAAGAGAAGUCUAUUGUGGUAGCUAAGGAAGUGAAAAAAAGAAAGGAUGAAAAGAAAAGGACUGAUAUAAAGAGGUCUGUUACUGAAACUAAGAAGAAAGAAAAAGAAGGAAAAAAAGAGAAAGCUCAUGAGAAGACAGCUGUCCCUGAAAUUAAAAAAGCAGAUAAAAAAGAAGCUGCUGUGUCCAAAGAACUCAAAAAGCCAGCAAAAUACCCUGCAGCUAAUCCAUCCACCAAAAAAGCAGUAAUACCAGAAACACACAGGAAAGAAAAAAUGGUGGAUACUGCCAAAACAGCAAAGAAAGAAUCAAAAGUACAUGCAUCUGUGGAAACUCUGAAGUCAAAAGCAGUACCUGAAAAGAAGGAAGAAAAAGCAAUGAAGGCAGGAGAGCAAGAUAAACCAAAGAUGAAACAAGCAAAUCCUGGAAAAGACAAAGAAUUGAAAUCUCCAGCUGCUACAAAAGAUAAAGAACACACUAAAGAAAAGGAAGGAAAGAAUCCUGCAGAUUUAAAAGAUAAAGAGUCUCUGAAAGGAAAAAAUCCCAAGAAUCCAGAGGGGUCAAAGGAUAAAGAGACUGGUAAAAGAAAAGAUGUGAGGCCUUCAGCAGUCUUAAAGGAAAAGGGAAAAGAAAUGAAGGUUUCAACUACAACUAAGGAGAAAGGUACUUCAGAAAAAACUCAUGAACACAAACCUGCACAUAUUAAACAUGAAAAAGCUAUCCCUCAGAUGAAGCCAGAGGAGAAAAUUAAACAACCAAAGACAGCUCCCACUGAGAAGUCAGCCCAGGCAAAACCAGCAAAGCAUGAAACGAUCAGGCAUGAAAAGGAUGUUCCAACUACAAAACCAGUCAAACUGAAAACAACUGCAAAGCCAACAGGUGAAAUUCCAAUAACAGGUAAAUAUCAAAAUUCUCUGCUAUGUCUUGUGGAAAUAUUUAAUGAACAUACCAGUACUGAAGAACACAUAACAUUCAUCAGCAAUGUACUAUGCCGAUGUAAACCAGAGCAGGUAAACUAA